GAUGAACGCUGGCGGCGUGCCUAAUACAUGCAAGUCGAGCGAACGGACGAGAAGCUUGCUUCUCUGAUGUUAGCGGCGGACGGGUGAGUAACACGUGGAUAACCUACCUAUAAGACUGGGAUAACUUCGGGAAACCGGAGCUAAUACCGGAUAAUAUUUUGAUCCGCAUGGUUCAAAAGUGAAAGACGGUCUUGCUGUCACUUAUAGAUGGAUCCGCGCUGCAUUAGCUAGUUGGUAAGGUAACGGCUUACCAAGGCGACGGUGCAUAGCCGACCUGAGAGGGGGGAGGGCGACUCUGGGGACGAACCGCGACACUGAGACCGACGGACGGCAGCGAUCGGGAAGGUAGGCAAAUGGGGGGAAGACUGAAGGAGCAACGCCGGGUGGGUGAAGAAGGUCCGCGGAUGGGAUGACGGUCUUAGUGUGGAAAAACAUUUGUAGAAGUAACGAAGCUCAUCGUGACGGUACCUGCUGAGGAAGCCACGGCUAACUACGUG
rnacentral:rRNA from 1 species